AGAAUCCUUCCACCAUUUUCAGCAUCAGUUGCAUUUGUUUUUUGGUAGAUGCGAAAAGUUUCAAAUCGUUCAUGUAAAGGAGAUGAUUCAGUCUCAUCGUAGUUCUACUGGCGCUUUUGAUGGCAAAUCCGUAGUCCGUAGAAUUCAAUCUAUGAGACAAGUGAUUUAGGGCUAUGCAGAACCAUAGAGGGUUCAGCGAAUCUCCUUGGAAAAUUCCGCUUCUUAUUGGAAUAGGUCCUAUUGUAAUGGAGCCAUCCGCUGCUUUCAUUUGAAGACUAGUACGCCAGGUUACAAUGUUUUACCAAACACGAAUUAUAAUAAUUCGUCUCUAACUACAACUUAUGGUUUCGAUACUUUCGAAUCCAAUGGUCCCAAUGGAUAUAUCGAUGUCAAAUCGCAAAUAUUGUAAGGAUAUCUAUUAUAAUUAUGGUUACGUUUCGGUUCAAGUCGAUACAUCUGUCAAUAAAAUUAAUUCUUUCGAAUAAUAUCUUCUUAGUUGACCUUUUUUACUUCGUUCCCAAUUGUUAUGUUUAACAGUUGAUGGGGAUAACUUAUAAAUUUAUCUCUAUUCGUUUGUUUUCUGAGUUAUCUGAAACAACUGUUAUACAUGUGUUUUUUUGGGAAGAAACUUUAAGUUGUUUUUAUCACAUCCUUUUUUUUUACCGUAUCGAGCUCAUGCUCUCUGAAAUCUAUUGAGGGUAUAUAGUCAGCUGCAAAUGGUUGCAUAAAAACCAGGGCUGGUAUUUUCGAGCAUUCGCAAUAUAUGCGAUCGUACGCAUCGAAAAACGUUGUGAUGUUUUUUACAGCAAAUAGCAGAGUUUUCCAGAGUUUCACCAAAGCAUUAGGUGAUUUUAUAUGGGCUAAACACAAGUAUUGGUAGUAUUGAUUGCUCAACCUUUUUUUAUCGUUUCUAUUUGAUAAAUGUGAUAGCUACCCUAUCCCAUUCGGUUCCACAACGAAAAUUCACCGAAAUAUUAUGGCGAGAUUUUUUGUUUGGUACUAGAAGAGAAAAGCUUCAAUGCGUGAACAUAAAAUGAAUGAUUUCGAAAUAUGAAACGGUUACUGCAUUUUUAAAGAUUAUAAAACGUUCCAUAAACAUAAAAACUAUUCUAUCAAUUAUUGAAUGUCCGAUUUCAUUACGAUCCUGGCACAUCAAAUAAUGAUUAGAAUGAAAUUGAAAACGCUUUGAAUGUAUUUAAGGAACUUUUCCGAAUGAGUUUAUUCGUUAAAAGACAUGGAACUGAAACAGAUAGUAUAUCUUUUCUUCGCAGUCAUUGCAGCAACCUAUACUUAUCGACAAGGACCGUAUAUAAUCACGAAGGAUGAUUUAAUGGGUUUUCAUCCAGUGUACCCAUAUGUUUGAUCACUCGUGUGCAAUACAUGUUAUGCCGCUCUAUAAAUACUUAUGCUGAGUUUUGUCAAAAAAGGGCCUCAUUAUGAUGAAAAAAAAUAAAUAAAAAUUUAUUGAAGAUGAA